AGUCGCACGGCCGCACAAUGGAAACUCCGCCGCACGGCCGGCCCCGGCCUGGGGGCUUCUCUUUUUGCAGCGGAACCGCUCGCCAGGGCGUGCGUCUGCGGGAGGGUGCAGCGGCCUGCCCACGGGUCAGGCGGGACCGCCCAGCUGUCAGGCUCGGGUGGAGUAGAGUUGGAGGAGUGCUGCUGGCGCGCCUCCGAGGCUGCCCCGAGGCACGGAGCCAGGGCGAGGGGGGUAAGGGAGAGGACAGCUCUUCCGAAAGGGAAGGCUCCGCCAGCCAGCUUCUGACCAGCUCCAGUGACCUGGCAGCCGGUGCAGAAGGCGUCUGGCACCAGCCCGAAGACGCCCUGAGGUGCAGCUGCACUUUCCUCUUGCAUAGGUUCUAAAGCUGUUUACGUUGCUCCGGUCCUCUGCGCCCAGGCUAAUCCCCCCUCCCCGCAUCAUUUACUGGGUGCGUGUUUCACACAGGGAUGCAGAUGGUUCCGGGGAUAAGGUUUGAUUUCUUUACACGUACGGCGUGGGUUUCUUAACUGGACACGUUAUAACCCAGCGAAGUGCACAUCCAUCAUGCACACGCGCGCUGCAGCAGAAACUACUCUGUGUGUAAAACAAACACACACGUGUUGAACAGCUGAGCGGGUCUGACUAUUGCAAAUCAUUCCUCCUCCCCGGCACCGGGUCAGAAAUGGAACUCUCAACUAGCACUUUCACUUUUUGAUGGUUGUAGAUGCCCUCCGCCCACAUCUCCCAAAUUAAACAUUUCGAAAUCAAUCAACAGGACUUAUUAGUCAGUCCCUCGCUAGGGGAUUUGCUUUGGUCUCCUCGGACACAUUUGUCAUGAAAUGGUGUGCCGAAAGCCUGGGUGACUGUAUGAAGGAGAGCAAUUUCUUCCUGGAAAUGAUAAAUUUAAGUGUAAAUUUCUUGAUGAAAACAAAAUUUAUCAGAGUUAAAGACCCCUAGUCCCAAAGGUUGCUGCUGAGUGAACGCAGUCUCUUUCAGAAAUGAAUUUUUGGACAGGAGAAAAUAUUUGAGUGAAACAAUGCAGAUAGAGUGGUCCCCAUGUGGUCCGCUUGAAUCACAAAUACCGUUUUAUAUGUUUGACCUGUCCCAAUUUGUGUGUGUGUGGCGGGGGCGGGGGGCGCUGCGCCGAGGGGAGAUACAAGAUUCCUUUGUAGACAGCACACAUUUCAGAAUCGAAGAAGGUUCGAGCUAGGACCAGAAACUUGAAAACAAACUACAUAUAGGUAAAUAUGGCAUGUAUAUCUUUCUUCGCCUCCACUUCCAAUUCAGACACGGUGGUGCGGAGAGGAUCGUGGGAGAAUGCCCCGAAAGUUGACCCAGCCGAGAGCAACCGAGUCUCUGCACUGCGGCGGGUUCCAAUCCAGCCUCGGAAGGAAGGAGGGCGCUGCUACAUUGUAUCCAUUCAAAGGCUUGAAGGGGGGGAGCAGGACCUGGAGCCGCGCGGCGCUGACGCACGCGAGGCGCGUGAUUGACGCAGGCGAUGUUACUAAAUUCGGCGGUUGGCCGGGACCCGCCGCCGGCGCGCGCCGCAGAUAGCGGAGUAGGUUCCCCUCGGUCACCCCCGCCCCUUCUCCAUUCAACGCCGCGCGGGGCGGGGCAGGGCGCGCGGGGCGGGGCGGGGCGGGGCGGGGAGCGCGCGGCCGCGCCAGGAUCCGGCCGAACCAAAUAUAGUCGGGCCUGGCUAUUUUUAGCCGGGUCUCGGGCGCGAGCCCGCCGCGUGAGGGGGCGCCCUGACCCCGCCGGGAGUGCGGAGGGGGCGGGGGCGGAGUCGCCAUCUUGGACUCGGUUCGACCAGGUCUGGUGACCGGCGACGAGGGGCCGGGCUCGGCGCCGGGGGUCGGGGAAAGAAGAACUAGGUCUGGCAGUAGAUCAGAAUCUACCUGUUGGGGAAAACCAGAAAUAGGAAGAAGAGUUAUUAAUGGUUCAUUCUUGGCUGAGAAGAAUUCAGUAUGGAAUAAUUAAGAACUACUAUCAAUGCCUUUUACAAAAUGAGGUCAUUGGAUUGCAGAGUUGGCUUUCGAGAAGAUUUUGUGGCCUUUCUCAGCUGUCUAGGUGCUGUAGGUGCUGUGUUUCUAUGGCUGCAAGGAUGAAGGUAACAUGGAUGAGGGAGGCUGAUGAGGCAUGUUUUGGUUGUUAUAUAAAGCAAGGCUCACAAAUGCAGCAAUAAGGACAUUGAUUUUUUUCCCUUGGCUACUUUGCAGUGGAGAUAAAUUGCCACCAGGUGAAUGGUGGUACCUUGAUUAUUUGGCCCAUAGUCUAAAUAGCUUUAAUGGGAGACCUGUUUAGAGCAUCAAUUUUCUGUUUUAAAUAUAUCAUUUCAUUAUUGGCACAGAAUUAUGACCACAUUAAUGGAGAUAGAAAUAAAGAAGAAAAACUAAAAAUCAUGUCUUUAUUUUCCCUUGCUUCAUGCCCAUUUAUAACUAUAAUUUUUGUGUUGUUGUAAUCAUAUUUUUUGAUACAUAAUUUUCUUUUCUAAUUUUUAAAUAAUAUAUCAAAAGCAUGUUUCCAUGCCACUACCGUGUAUUAUUUAUAAUGAUCAUUUUAACAGAAUAUCAUGUAUUUUUAUGUGUCAGCAGAUGUUCUUUUUAAAAAACUGUGUAUUAAAUGUUGAAUAUAUGUACAAAAAUUUAUAAAAGUUAUACGAAAUCAUCAUAAAUUAACACCCAUAUGCCUAUCAUUCAAUUUAAGAUAAAGAACAUUGCUAUUAUCUUUGGAGGCCUCUGUGUUCUUAUUUCCCACCUCAUCCUCUUCAUUACCCCUACAGAGGCCAUGUGAUCACCCUCCUAAAUCUUGUGUUUAUUGUAUCUUAGUUCUCUUUAUAAUUUUACCAUAUUUGGUUAUAUUCCUAAAGAGCAUACAGUUUAGUGGAUAUUUUAAUCAAUAUUUAAAUGGACUAAAAAAUGUGAACACAUUUAUCUGUAAUUUGUUUUUUCACC
rnacentral:lncRNA from 1 species